GCAGCUUCCAGAAGUAUUUCCCUAGAAGACUGAAUGCAGAAAAGGCAAGCGUGCGUCAGUUCCCUUCAAGGUUGACCACAAGAGUACCCUCAGCAGACAAAUGGCCUCAAGGUCUUCAGCCUCACCACCAGGAACAGGAGGCAGAGUCCCACCACGACGCCGCAAACCGCUCCAGCAAUCAUGCCAAUGUUUUGGGCAUCUGUUGUCCAAAAAAUAAACAGAUUAACAGGCUAUAUGGAAUAUUGCUGAGCAAGUGAGAAGUGUUCCAUGUGACUGGAGUACAAAAGGGCAAGGGUGUGGAUAAGGGUUCAUCCAGUGAAGUGGGUCAGCUGAGGACCUACACUGCUCAUACAGAGGUGAGAAUACCAAUUAGGUGCAAUACUCACGCUGCACUGUCACCUGAACAACACAGGUCUCCUGUCCAGCCUCGUUGGUGGCCAUGCAUUGGUACAACCCUGUACUCAUCUGAGUGAGGUUCUUCAGUAAGACUUGACCUGGAUUAGAAAUGUCUGAAACAGGAAAAACAACACUCAGAUUAAUCAAAAAAAGACUAAGAACGGAGGAUGGAACAAAAAAAACAAGCGCUGAACUUGCAGAUCAAAAUCAGUUCGAGAUCAGCGAUAACUCAGGAAAGAUCAUCUGUCAACCUUUUGCAAAGCAUGAGAACUUGUGCACUUCCUUGCUCAGGGUGGAGCACAAUACAGCAUCCUGCUGUAGCCAAGUUCUGGUAAAGCACUGCUCUCACUGCCAGCACGCUCUCCCUGGUUACAAGAUGGACACACUGUGCCUGUGGGUGGUUAUCUGGCUUUCAACACUUGGAGAGCUCUAAGAGGAAGUGACUUACUGACUCUCGACGUAGGUGGGAGAUGUUCAGCUUUCUCAUCUUCCUCAUUUAUGCGCUGCCACCGGUAGGAGAUGGGCGCAGUGCCUGAGGAAGAACGGCACUGCAGGGACAGGUCUUUCCCUUCUGACAGCUCUCCUUCCAGCCAGCACUUGGGCUUGGAGGGUUUCUCUGUAGAAAACAGAGCACAGGUCAUGCACACGCAACAGAUCAUUUUCUUGGUGGAAAACCCUUUUAUAAAAUUAUUAUUUACACUAGUGAUGUUUGUUAGUGGACUUGAACUGCAACCUUGUGCAGCUUUGUAGUGUAAGAAGUAGAAAGAACACAUUCUGUUUUGAGUCAGUCUGCUUCAUGGCUACUUGUGCCAAUGGAGCUGUAUCAAAGCAUUCUUCUAGGCACGAUUUAGAGAAUAACCUUUCCCUGAAAUCCUUUCCCUCCCCCUGCUUCUCCAUUUCUUCCUUCUCCCCACAGGAUCUGGCAGGUCACAGCAGGACUUCCAUGGGGUGAUAGUGUAGGUGCUAAAUGCCAAGCCAUAAACUGGAAUCAGGGAAGAGAAAUGCUAACCCCAGUGGCUUAUCCAUCACCUUCACUGACUUGGAUCAGUUUGGGCUCCAGGGACACAAACUCAGAGUCCCCAGCGAGAGUUCUGGACAGAGUGAUGGUUGCUAGGAUAUCACUUUAGUUUACAUGAUGAGAUCAUAGGACAAUUUAGAAAGGAGAUGUUGCAAGUGGGUAAGCUUAUCACGAAAUAGUUCUCUGGACUCUUCCUGUGUUCUGUCCUUUGCCAAAAAAUGCAAAGGCAGAUACAGACUUAUUGAAACCUGAUCAAGAGAUGUCUGUGUGUGUUUAUACCCUAAUG